rnacentral:lncRNA from 1 species
UUAGAUUGACUUCACUUUGUGCAGUGGUAUAUUGUUUGCCUUCGUGAUGGUACUGUUCUUUUUUGGAUGGUCCUGCUUGAUAUUUUAUUUAAUUUUCCCAGUCGAUGUUUUUGCAUGGAGGGUAAGCCUAUUUUAUUAUUCUUCAUGGUUGAUAUAUUACAAAUCUUUGUUAAGUCUUUGGAACUCACCUCUCUCAAAAGGCCAUAUUAGCAAUAUUUUGUUUAUCUGUUAAAAUAAGGAGAUAUUUGUCUAUAACAUGAAAAAAAACCCGUUUCAAUUGAGAAAAAUAAUGGCCUUAUUCACAACAAAAUAAUUUACCAAAAAAAAUAUGACAGACAUGAACCAAAACAAUCACUGAACUACAGGCACAUAAAAAAUUUUGGCAGGGUUAAACAUGUUUGUGAGGGCUCAACCCUCUCCCUAACCUGGGACAGUGGUGUAACAAUAAGUGUUGUUCAUUAUCUCUUUGUAAUAAGGCCAGUUUGCACAAAAUUUGUCAGGAAUAAUAUAUGUAGGGUUCUUUAUAAAAGCAUCUCAUUUUGUUUUGAUCGAAUGAACAAAUAUUUUUGCCAGGAAUAAUAUUUUUAAAUGUUUUAAUUUAUUUCAGAUAUUGGACUGUGUCUAUGGUGGCCUUGCUGCUCUGGUUUUUAGCCUGGUAAGAUAUUUAUUAUAAUGACCUGAUGUUGUCACAGAGAUGUGAAUAGCUGGGGCACAGCAGCUCAUGGCCCCUUAAUCUAGAUGUGGGCCACUUAAAUUUGUUAUAUUUUACUUAUCAUGAAAAAACUAUUGACUCAUGAAAAUACAAGACAGGCAGCUACUGUAAAUUCAGAAAUUAUAGCGUCCAUUUAUUUUUGCGAUUUUUGAAAAAAAAUGCGAGAUUGAUUGUUGCAAUGUCAGGAAAAUCUGCAUACAGAUAUUAUUAGUAACAUACUAUGUAACGAAUUCAUCUUACUGACUAUCUUUAUUUGUUGAAUUUAGACUAGAGUUAUCUCAUUUGCUAUCAUUACACAUCUUCUUAUUUCUAUAUUAAAGUGUUCAAGUGUUUAAUUUUAAGAACCUUCUUCAUUUGGUCUGCUCUAAAAAAAAAAAUGUAAACAAUAACUAUUUAUUAUCAACAACCUUGAUAUAACAAUAUUAAACAAAACUUUCAAUACUUUUAAAUAAUCAAACAGUGCCAAAGUCGUAACUCCACUACUAACCAUGUAUUGAAUGAAGCCCCACCUCCAUACUAACCUAAUAUUGAAUAUACACAGUCUCCAUGCGGACGCUUUUAACCAAUCAUAUUCCUAGUAUUGUAUAGGAGGUAAGAUAAGAUAUAUGUCUAUCCAAUAUAAGAAUGCAAGUUCUUAUUAUUGCUAUACUCACCCAAUCGCAUUAUUGGCAUUAAUAAAAACCUUGCGAUAAUUUCUGAAUUUACUGUACCUAAAAAUUCAAUCAUUGAGUCAGUAACCUUUUCAGAACCUUUGAAAAUUCACUUCUUUCUUUCUUAUUUAAACAAAAAUAUAUUGAAAGUUAUUGCAAACUCAUUUUUAUGCCCCACCUAUGAUAGUAGAGGGGCAUUAUGUUUUUCUGGUCUGUGCCUCCGUUCGUCCGUGCGUACGUCUGUGCGUCCGUCCGUUCGCUUCAGGUUAAAGUUUUUGGUCGAGGUAGUUUUUGAUGAAGCUGAAGUCCAAUCAACUUGAAACCUAAUACACAUGUUCCCUAUGAUAUGAUCUUUCUAAUUUUAAUGCCAAAUUAUAGUUUUGACCCCAAUUUCAUGGUCCACUGAACACAGAAAAUGAUAGUGCAAAGUUCAGGUUAAAGUUUUUGGUCAAGGUAGUUUUUGAUGAAGUUAAAGUUACAUCAACUUGAAUCUUAGAACACAUGUUCCCUAUGAUAUGAUCUUUCUAAUUUUAUAUAGUGAUCAGUCUGUCCGUCUGUCCGUCCGUCCGUCCGUCCGUCCGUCCGUAACACUUUGUGUCCGCUCCAUAUCUAGAGAACCAUUAUGAUUUCAUACUUUAUACUUUACAUGUUUAUUAACCACCACCUAGAGGCGUGUCAUGAUGUAUGUACAACUUCCUAGGUCAAAGGUCAAGGUAAAAAAACUUUGGUUUCAGUUGACAACCCUGUGUCCUGUGGUGAAGAUCGUGUCCGCUCUAUCUUGAGAACCGUUAUGAUUUCAAAGUUUAUACUUGACAUGUAUAUGAACCAACACAGAGGGUUGUCAUAAUUUAUGAACGACUGCCUAGGGCAAAGUUCAAGGUCAAAAACUUUGGUUUCAGUUGACAACCCCAUGUCCUAUGGUAAAGAUUGUGUCCGCUCUAUAUCUUGAGAACCGUUAUCAUUUCAAAGUUUAUACUUGACAUGUAUAUAAACCAACACCAAAGGGUGUGUCAUAAUUUAUGUGCAACUUCCUAGGUCAAAGGUCAAGGUCAAAAACUUUGGUUUCAGUUGACAACCCCAUGUCCUAUGGUAAAGAUCGUGUCCGCUCUAUAUCUUGAGAACCGUUAUCAUUUCAAAGUUUAUACUUGACAUGUUUAUAAACCAACACCAAAGGGUGUGUCAUAAUUUAUUUACAACUUCCUAGGUCAAAGGUCAAGGUCAAAAACUUUGAUUUCAGUUGACAAACCCAUGUCCUAUGGUAAAGAUACAAUUUUUUAAUGCACAUUAUUCACAGCGGGGCCCACAGAGAUGGCUCCCAUCUCAAUGAUAUCUAGUUCCAAAUUAAAGUUUUGACCCCAAUUUCACGGUCCACUGAACAUAGAAAAUGAUAGUGGGAGUGGGGCAUCCGUGUACUAUGGACACAUUCUUGUUUUCACCUGUUUUCUCACCUGUUUACAGUGAGGUUUCAAACCCAUGAGGAUUUGCAAAUUUAAAGACAGGAUGAUAACCAAUAUUCUGCAGCACAAAAUGCAGGAAUAAUUGGUGUACAUGUACAAAAGGGCAAAACGAUUUUAUCACCUUAAAUCUUUAGUCUCUUUGAAAAGUUUUAUGCACAUUACAUUGUUUUAAUAUGAGUCAUCAAGUAACAAGUGAAAUAUGGUAAAUGUAUAAGGUUCAUACUUGAGCUAAAUCUUACUUGAAAUUUGUAUACAAGAAUUUAGCAGAGGAUGUUGGAAUUUUUCUAUUGCCGCCUAUAGACAUUCAGUGGCCAAUCAAGGGGGAGUAUUCCUGGGGUUGGAACCCCCCUUUUUUGGACGAUCAAUGCAUUUGAAUUGGGACAUAAAGUUGGAACCCCCCUUUUCUCCUCGGUUUCGAACCCUUUUAAAAUGGCUUGAUCUGCCACUGAUAUUUUAUAAUUCAAUCUAUCAACAUACCAAUGCUACUUGCACACUGUUACCUAUUUUAUAAACAGAUUCUGACUGGUAGGGUACUAUUGUUACGUUCGGAGGACAUGUUUUUCAACAGACUGUCGGCAUUCCAAUGGGAGCAAACUGUGCCCCUCUACUUGCCGACUUGUUUCUUUAUUAUUAUGAGGCAGACUUCAUGCAGGAACUUCCUAGGAAGAAAGACAAGAAGUUAGCAAUAUCCUUUAACUCUACUCCGCUAUACAGAUGAUGUUCUUUCACUAAAUAAUUCAAAAUUUGGUGACUAUGUGGAACGCAUCUAUCCCAUCGAACUAGAGAUAAAGGAUACUACGGAUACAAUUAUGUCGGCCUCAUAUCUUGACUUACAUCUAGAAAUUGACAAUGAGGGUGGUUGAAAACAAAACUUUACGACAAAAGAGAUGAUUUCAGCUUUCCAAUUGUGAACUUUCCAUUUCUAAAUAGCAACAUUCCAGCAGCACCUGCAUACGGGGUAUAUAUCUCCCAAUUGAUACGAUAUUCCUGUGCUUGCAUUUCCUAUCAUGAUUUUCUUGAUAGAGGGUUGCUGCUCACAAGGAAACUAUUAAAUCAAGAGUUCCAAAUGGUGAAGUUGAAAUCAUCCCUUCGUAAAUUUUACGGAUGCCAUCACGAGUUGGUUGACCGUUAUGGAAUAACCGUUUCACAAAUGAUAUCGGAUAUGUUCCUUACGUCGUAACAACAAUUCCCUUCCCUUUCAUGAAUGUGACUUACCGAAUUAGACUACUUACCGGAUUUGUUAUCACAUAAACAACACGACGGGUGCCACAUGUGGAGCAGGAUCUGCUUAUGCUUCCGGAGCACCUGAGAUCACCCCUAGUUUUUGGUGGGGUUCGUGUUGUUUAUUCUUUAGUUUUCUAUGUUGUGUUAUGUGUAAUAUUGUUUGUCUGUUUGUCUUUUUCAUUUUUAGCCUUGGCGUUGUCAGUUUAUUUUAGAUUUAUGAGUUUGACUAUCCCUUUGGUAUCUUUCGUCCCUUUUUUGUGAAAGAAUCAUAUUUUGAUUGAUUCAUCAUAAAUAUAUGGAAUACUGUGGACUCAUUAUUGUUAGUGUGAUACCAAUUUUCAUGGGAUUCGUGGGUACAGGUGAACUACAAAUUCAAAUGUUUAACAAAUUACAAAUUUUCUAUAGUCUUUUUAUGAAGAGAUUUGCAAAACCAGGAAAUCAAAUAUCCACAAAAACGCAAGUUUUCAUCAAUAAAUAAAAAUAAAUAAAUCCAUAGUAUCUUUUUUUCUGUAAAGAGGAAUAAAUGUGUAGAUCAAUUAAUUUUGGGAAAAAAAAACUUGACAUCAAGGCCAGGAAAUCACAAGCCAUCUUUCCCACUAGACCUAUGUACCAUGUUCUUUGCUUAAUAAUUAAUUUGUCAUUUUUUGCAGUUCCUUGUGUACGACACCCAGAUGGUGGUAGGUGGGAAGAAACAUGAGCUAUCUCCUGAGGAGUACGUGUAUGGAGCCUUACAGCUGUAUAUUGAUAUAGUCUACCUCUUCUUGAUCCUCUUGGCUUGUUUUGGAAAAAGUAACUAAACAGGAACAGAAUAUUCAAGACUUUAUUGUACUUUGCUAGAUAUUGUCAGUAAUUAUUAUAAUCAAAAGUUUAUACAACUCAUUUAAUUUUGGUACAAAUCAUUUUCUGUCAAAGUUUCAGAAAAAUCAUGAUUUAAAUUUGAGUACAAAUAUUUUUUUUUUUUUUAUAUGGUAUUUAAUAAUUUCAGUUAGUUCAAAAAUACUUGACUCAGCAGUCUGUGAUUUUACAAAUCCAUUUUUUUUCUCUAAGUAUUAGUCCUAUAAGUAAGCUUAUUUAUAAUUAUGUAAAAGAUGUGAGUGGUGAUGGGUGUAUUCAAUUUAAAUUUUCUUUGAAAUUUUUUUAAUUGAUUUAAAAAAAAUUAACACUUAAUGCAGUCAACCAACCACAGAGGAGGUCUUGUUUUAUGAUCCAUAUUUAGUUUACAUGAUAUUUUAAAUUUAUACUUUUACUACAAUGUAAUUAAUAAGAAAACUUGCCAUUCUAUUUUCUUUGGAAUACUUAUUAACAAACUUAGAAAAUAGAUAAAAUGUGAGUUCAAAGUAUAACUUUAUCAAUUUUAAACUUUUUAGAGUUUGAAUUUUUCAUCGCUAGAAUUUAUUUAUUCUUCAUGUUAAUUUUUUUUUACAAUGACUUUAUUAUUAUUUUGUAAUCAAAUGUUUUUAGAAUAAUUUUAAUUUUCCUUUGUCAAAAAAAAAUACAAGAUGUAUUUAUAUGUUUUGAAAUUACUUCAGUAUUUUACGUUGAAAAAAGCCCAAGCUCAAAAUGUAAUUGGCCAUCAGCACUUUUUCGCUGGAAUAAUAUAUCUGUUGGAUAUUUUUUAUCUUAUUAUUUAUUGCUAUGCUGAAAUAUUAUUUUUUUUGGCAAAUUAUGCAGGAAUUUAUUCCAGUAGCAUGACUAUUGAUGAAAGGGUAUAAAUAUGACUUUAUGUUUUUUUUAUAUACUGAAUACUUUAAUUUCAUUGUAUUUAACCUGUCAAUUUUUCUUACGCUAUUAACUUCAUGCCGCAGAAGAUAAAUUUUAUUAUUUCUUAUUCUUAUUUGAUACUUUAUAUUCUUUAAACAACAUUUUAUAUGAUAAUUGUUAAUACACUGAACAAUAAAGUUAUGCUUUCUUGACAAAACAGAUCAAAGAUAUCUUAGAAAAAUCAAAACACAUUAAUUUUUUACUUGUACAAUGCUGUAGGCCUUUGAAACAAUUCAUAAUAUGAAAGAGCUUUUAAGAGGUACCUUUGUAUAUAAAAUAAAUGUGAGUUACACAAUUUCAUUUAAUAUCCCUAAAAGAAGGCUUAAUUUCCAUAAUUAAAACAAACUUUCAAACCUUUAUGAAUCAAAAGGAUUGAAAUAUAUUGUAUGUUCAAGUUAUAGAAUGCAAAUAUUUCAUAUUUCUUAACUGACCAUAUUGGGUAUUUAAAAAUCCUCAAAAUUAGGAAUGCUUAUUCUGAUUGAUUGAUUAAUUGAUGGUAUGGUAGGGUCCAGUAUUGUAACUGAAGUUGCAAGCAUUUAAAAUGCCUUAACUGAAAAAAAUAAUUGAAAAAGUAAAAAAAAUAACGGUUUCCUUCCAAGGCCUUAAUUGAAAAAAAUAUUGAAAAAGCAAACAAUUUAACAACACUAUUCUAAGUCCUUAACUGAAAAGGUAAUUGAAAAGACCAAGAAUUUAACAUCCCCUUCUAAGGGCUUAACUGAAAAGUUAAUUGACAUAGCUAAAGAUUGAACAGCCCCCUUUUUAGGCCUUAAGGUGGAUCGGGACUAUUCGACUGCGCAUAAUUUCAUGCAUGAAUUACAAUGCACACGAAAAGUAUUUGUCGUAAAUUUGAUAUUAUUUUUAGGCAGUUAAGCUGCCUUAUGCGAGCACCCUAGAUUUGUGUUCUACCCAAUAAAUGCUGAAAUAUGUGCCAUUGUUAUUAUCUAGCUGGAUGUUAUUUAUUCAUAACUAAUUGGACAGUUUUUUCAUACUUUUAAUUCUUGAUUACAAAAAAUAUGAUCAGAAAAACCUUAAAUGAUCGUCGAUUUAUCCAAAAGUUUUGAAGUUGCACAUAGGAAGUAGGGCACAUUAGGAAUCUUUAUGUAGUUUAUUAUCCCCUGAGAUUUUGGCUAAGCUGUCAAAGAACAAAUGUAUGAAAUGUUUAAUCGCCGAAAAUUUCUAAAGGCAAGUAGUUUAGAUUUCCCAAAUGGCAAAAGUCGUAGGAAUAUUGUUUGUCGUCAAUACGUAGUCAACUACGUCAGUAGUCUUAAAAUAAGUUCCACUGUUCAUGCUGUUGGCGGCAAUUUUAAAUUAUAAGACGAAAUUUUUGUAUCUUUUCAAUUUGGAGGCAGGGGUUCAAUUAGCGGUUGUCCGAGGUCUGCGAACUUCCACUUUUGAAGUCAGACUUUCGACUUGGUUACUAGCUACGCUCGACAUGCACGCCUUGAGAGGAAAUAAAAAAAUAACUUUGCAAACCUUUCUACCAAAGUCUCCUAAUAAACGAUCUCAAAACUAGUUUUUAGCAUUAUUAUUCAUGACAGCGAUGUUCAUUUUGUUCAACCGCUAGCUUUAUACAGAAAAUCGCCAACAAAUAAUGUGUAAAUUAGAGUAAAAUCCUAUCUGACAUAAACAACAUUGAAAACAAAAUGGUUGACAUGAGAAGAAAAUUCUAAUAUCAGAUCCGAUUCCGGAAGCGGAUAUGGGUAAUUCCGGGUUUUGGCGAUCUUUGAACUUUUAAAAAAAUCUGACAGAUGACAAAAUACAUCUUUGCAUGGUAGAUAAAUAUUAACACUAGAAUUGAAAACCAAAAGAUAUAUUUAAAAGAAUGAAAAAAUAGAAAAUAUUUUGUACUGAAAAUGUGAGAAACGUACAAUUAAAUACAAUGAUGAUGAAGUAGAGCAGAAUAUAAUUGUGCAACAGUGCCAGCGUUCUGAAGAUCCAUAGGUAUUCAUAGGAAACUCGAAAUUACUUUUUGACAAAUUUUAAUGUCAAAAUCCAAUACAAUGUGAGUCUUUGUGACAGCUUAGAACAGUAUAUCUAACAAUAUAUAUGGUCCUGGUGACAGUAUAAAUUUUCUUUAUCAGUAAUAAAUGUUGGUAAAGCAAGUUAGAUGCUUUUAAAGUGUAAACAUAUUACUAAAUGGGUAUUUUUUUUUCUCAAUUUUGAUGGGUCAGUUAAAAUAGCUGGAAGUUUCUUAUUUUACACAUAUAGUGCAACUAGAUUAUAUGAUACCUGAAUGUAAGCAAAUUAUAUGUAUGUGGAGUCCUUUGGGGCACUCUACCCCCUCCUGUUUGAUAACUUUUGAAACGGAUGAGAUCCCCAACUCUCAACCAUAUACAUUCAUGUAUGGUACUAUAUAACUAAUCAAAUGAAAUAUAGGUGAAGUCACUAGGGUCACCCACCAAACUUGGAAACAGUCGAGAUCCUCACCCCUCAACCAUAUUUAUUCAUGUAUGGGACAAUAUAACCAAUCAAAUGAAAUACAGGGGGAGUCCCUGGGGUCACCCACCCACUCCUGUUUGGGAACUUUGAAACAGUCUAGAUACCCACCCCUAAACCAUAUAUAUUCAUGUAUGGGACAAUAUAAUAAAUCAAAUGAAAUAUAGGGGAGUCCCUGUGGGUCAUCCCACCCCUCCUGUUUGAGAACUUGGAAACGGUCGAGAUUCCCACCCCUAAACCAUAUAUUCAUGUAUGGGACAAUAUAACAAAUCAUAUGAAAUAUAGGUGGAGUUCGUGGGGCCACUCUACCCUUCCUGUUUGAGAAUUUGAAAAUGUUUGAGAUCCCCUCCAUAAACCAUAUAUAUUCAUGUAUUGGACAAUAUAACAAAUCAAAUGAAUUAUAGGGGGAGUCCCUAGGGUCACUGCACCCUCAUGUUUAGGAACUUGGAAACAGCCGAGAUCCUCACCACGUAACCAUAUAUACUCAUGUAUGGGACUAAAUAACAAAUCAAAUAAAAUAUAGGGGAAGUCCCUGCGGUCACCCCACCCUCUGUUGUUUGAGAACUUGGAAACAGUCGCGAUCCUAACCUUAAAUUAAACCAUAUAUUUUCAUGUAUGGGACAAAAGAACAAAUCAAAUGAAAUAUAGAGAGAGUCCUAAGGGUCACCCUACCCAAUCCUGUUUGAUAACUUAGAAACAGAUGAGAUCCCCACCCCUUAACCAUAUAUAUUCAUGUAUUGGACAAUGUAACAAAUCAAAUGAAAUAUAGGGGAAGUCACUGGGGUCCCCCACCCCUAAACCAUAUAUAUUUAUGUAUGGGACAAUAUAAAAAAUCAAAUGAAAAAUAGGGGUAGUCCUAGGGUCACUCACACCCUCUUGUGUGUGUUUUGAGAACUUGUAAAAGAUUGAGCUGCGAACUCCUAAACCAUAUUCAUUCCUGUUUGUCAUUUCAAAAAGAUUGAAUGACAUACAAGGUCAAUCUCAUAGGCGUCACAUAUGCAUAUCACUUUGCUAGACCUAACACCUGUCAUUUUAUUCCAAACUUAGACAUCAUGGACUUGGGUUGAAGGUGGGAGUCAUCUACAUUUACUAUGGACAGGUCAGUCAGUGCUCACUAUUGAUCCCUGUAGUAGUAAACAUUUGUCUGAUUUGUGUCUCAUAACUUUUGUACUGUAGAACACAAACUCAGUUUUCUUUCCAGGGAAGCAAGUCCAUUCAUACUUUUACAAGCUCGUACCAAAGUCAACUUGAAAUACUAACAGUCAACUAAUACGAACAAUUACGAUCAACUAGAAGAACUGCAAUCAUUGCAAAUUUGUACCACUGCUGACUCGAGACUCAUGACCAUGAAAAAAAAAUAUACUUGAUAUAUACGUUGCUAUUGAAAACCUUGAUAAAAUAUGAAUUAUUUGCCUUAAAGAUUAAUUCAUUAAAUGAAAUAAAUGACAAUAUAUAUGAAUGUUUAAUGUUUGUUCUUUUAAAUCUUUAAAAAAAAAUUGAAGCAACAUUCAAAAAAAAUUUUGGAUCGUAUAAUGGUAUGAUGUCGUUGUCUGCGUCGUCUACGUCGUCUGCGUCGUCGUCGUCUGCGUCGUCGUCAUCUGAAGACACAUUGGUUUCCGGAUAAUAACUUUAGUUUAAGUGAAUAGAUCUUCAUGAACAUUUUUCAGAAGAUUAAAUACCACAAAAGGAAGGUUGGGAUUGAUUUUAGGGAUGAUGGUCUCAACCGAUUAGAAUUAGGGGCCAAAAGGGGCCCAAACAAAACAUUUUUCUAGUAUCAGG